GAUGAACGCUGGCGGCGUGCCUAAUACAUGCAAGUCGAGCGAACAGAUAAGGAGCUUGCUCCUUUGACGUUAGCGGCGGACGGGUGAGUAACACGUGGGUAACCUACCUAUAAGACUGGAAUAACUCCGGGAAACCGGGGCUAAUGCCGGAUAACAUUUAGAACCUCAUGGUUCUAAAGUGAAAGAUGGUUUUGCUAUCACUUAUAGAUGGACCCGCGCCGUAUUAGCUAGUUGGUAAGGUAACGGCUUACCAAGGCAACGAUACGUAGCCGACCUGAGAGGGUGAUCGGCCACACUGGAACUGAGACACGGUCCAGACUCCUACGGGAGGCAGCAGUAGGGAAUCUUCCGCAAUGGGCGAAAGCCUGACGGAGCAACGCCGCGUGAGUGAUGAAGGUCUUCGGAUCGUAAAACUCUGUUAUUAGGGAAGAACAAAUGUGUAAGUAACUGUGCACGUCUUGACGGUACCUAAUCAGAAAGCCACGGCUAACUACGUG
rnacentral:rRNA from 1 species